GACGAACGCUGGCGGCGUGCUUAACACAUGCAAGUCGAACGGAAAGGCCCUGCUUUUGUGGGGUGCUCGAGUGGCGAACGGGUGAGUAACACGUGAGUAACCUGCCCUUGACUUUGGGAUAACUUCAGGAAACUGGGGCUAAUACCGGAUAGGAGCUCCUGCUGCAUGGUGGGGGUUGGAAAGUUUCGGCGGUUGGGGAUGGACUCGCGGCUUAUCAGCUUGUUGGUGGGGUAGUGGCUUACCAAGGCUUUGACGGGUAGCCGGCCUGAGAGGGUGACCGGCCACAUUGGGACUGAGAUACGGCCCAGACUCCUACGGGAGGCAGCAGUGGGGAAUAUUGCACAAUGGGCGGAAGCCUGAUGCAGCUACGCCGCGUGCGGGAUGACGGCCUUCGGGUUGUAAACCGCUUUCGCCUGCGACGAAGCGUGAGUGACGGUAAUGGGUAAAGAAGCACCGGCUAACUACGUG
rnacentral:rRNA from 1 species